AUUGAACGCUGGCGGCAUGCCUUACACAUGCAAGUCGAACGGCAGCACGGGUGCUUGCACCUGGUGGCGAGUGGCGAACGGGUGAGUAAUACAUCGGAACAUGUCCUGUAGUGGGGGAUAGCCCGGCGAAAGCCGGAUUAAUACCGCAUACGAUCUACGGAUGAAAGCGGGGGACCUUCGGGCCUCGCGCUAUAGGGUUGGCCGAUGGCUGAUUAGCUAGUUGGUGGGGUAAAGGCCUACCAAGGCGACGAUCAGUAGCUGGUCUGAGAGGACGACCAGCCACACUGGAACUGAGACACGGCCCAGACUCCUACGGGAGGCAGCAGUGGGGAAUUUUGGAAAAUGGGCGAAAGCCUGAUCCAGCAAUGCCGCGUGUGUGAAGAAGGCCUUCGGGUUGUAAAGCACUUUUGUCCGGAAAGAAAUCCUUGGCCCUAAUACGGUCGGGGGAUGACGGUACCGGAAGAAUAAGCACCGGCUAACUACGU
rnacentral:rRNA from 1 species